AGCAGCAGCCACGGGAAUACGGAGGGGGCUAGCGUUGUUCGGAAUUACUGGGCGUAAAGCGCACGUAGGCGGCUUGGUAAGUUAGAGGUGAAAGCCCGGAGCUCAACUCCGGAAUUGCCUUUAAGACUGCCGAGCUAGCAGGUGAGAGAGGUAAGUGGAAUUCCGAGUGUAGAGGUGAAAUUCGUAGAUAUUCGGAAGAACACCAGUGGCGAAGGCGGCUUACUGGCUCAUACUGGACGCUGAGGUGCGAAAGCGUGGGGAGCAAACAGGAUUAGAUACCCCUGUAGUCCCUGUCUCUUAUAC
rnacentral:rRNA from 1 species